GGAGAGGAGAGGAGAGGAGAGGAGAGGAGAGGAGAGGAGAGGAGAGGAGAGGAGAGGAGAGGAGAGGAGAGGAGAAAUACAGGGGCAGGGGGUGUGUGCCAAACUCCUUCUUUGCUAAGUAGAAAGCUUCUGAAUUUCAAGCAGAAAGUGGAAGGAGCUUCACAGAGCACUAUCUUGGGCUGCGUGUGCAGAGCGUAGACAAUGAAAAUCUCCGCCCCCUCCCCCAUGCUCUCAAGUCUACAAGAUUUUUUUCUUUCCUUCACAACGAUGGAAGCUAUGUAAAAAUCAAAUACACAGAGAUGUACAUACUUUUUUUUAAAGCACAGACUAACAAACCGAAGGACCUGACCAUGGAUUAUUCAAGGACUCACCUGCUGGGGAGCGCUCUGGGGUCUCCGCACAAAACCUGCUUUUGAGCCCUUUGGCUUUCUUCAGGCGAGCGCAGUCCGUCCAUCCCCCUGGCCCACCCAGCCGCAAGGGAUGCUGUGAAAAGAGCCGCUGCUUGCCGCCUCCGGCCUGCCGUCCAGAGGGCUCCGCCCGUAGAGGUCAACUCCCCUCAUUCUUCUUCUUUCCAUCUUGCCCUCCCUCCGCCGAGCCCAGACUCGGAUCUCCUCCUGACACCCGCCGCAGUCAGAGAGAGCGCAUCUGCUGCGCUGCCCUUAAAUCUACGCCCAGAGCGGGCUCAGACCCGAUCUCUGCUCUCCAGAGCCGGAGGACGCCCGAGCAAGCAGCCUUUUCUCUUCGCAGUAAAAUCAUAGCCAGACCAGAUGGGCCCCAGCUCUCCCGGGACUCGGCAGAGACGGCUCGUGAUCAUUGCCUUCCUUUUGGAAGAACACCGAUAAGGAAACCUCAAAAAAAAACCUUCCUGGACUUUUGAGAAGGAAAAGAUGGAGAUGGGACAAAAAGAGUGAAAAGAUCAACAAGACACAACACUGGCCACAAGACUACUUUGGGCAAAUAAUGAAAGCAGAUGAAAAAUAAGUUUCUUCACAGGUCAAUCUAGCCUUGGAGCAGCAUAUACAGAGAGAGGUCAGAGCUGAGGGAGUGUCAGAGAGGAACACGAGAGAGAGAGAGAGAGAGAGAGAGAGAGAGAGAGAGAGAGAGAGAGAGAGAGAGAGAGAGAGAGAGAGAGAGAGANNNNNNNNNNUCAUGCAGAUGCAGUUCAUAGUUCCUUGCCUACUACUGUAGAGAAGUCCACUCUUUGACAGUAAUCAACAUAGUAACUUCUGUUGUGCUUUG
rnacentral:lncRNA from 1 species